CUUAAUUUAAAAAAAAAAAUUCUUAUACCUAUCCUUUCACUUCCUCUAGUCCCUCUCUAUUGUAGCUUAUGAUACUCUGAGCAUUGCCUAAGACUUGUAUUGUGAGCACUUCUUGUAUCUAUUUCUCUCGUCAUGACGACUCGCUUGUUGUAUUCCUCACUUGUAAGUCGCUUUGGAAAAAAGCGUCUGCCAAAUGAGUAAAUUUUCACUGUACAUUUGGUUUGGAGCUGUGCACAUACAGCAAUGAAGAGAAGAAUGACAUCUCAGCCUGUGAGAGGGACCAAACAACAUUGAUCAUCAAAUGAAUCCCCCCAUCCUCCCCACCACCACCAGGUCGGUCCCUGUCCAUACAUCAGGGGUAGUCUCCACCCCUGCCUUCAUCUUCAGGCAGGAACUGCAAGUAUCUGCUACCCUUUGGAUUUGGACUAUGGACAGGGCCUACGCCAAAGAACUUCAUCAUUUCAUCUUUGUUACUAAUUUGCAUACUAUCUGUUAAAUAAAUCUUAUUCAAACGUUCUCUUGCCUCCUGAGUCUGGUUGUUGUCACUUUUUGUUCAUCAAAAUCACGGGGUAGGCUACAUUUCAGUGCAUUUAUACAGUAUUUUGUUUUUAUUGCAAAAGUGCACUGAUUAAGUUGUUUCAAGGCAAGUAAUACUACAACUAUUGCAAUUUUUUUGUACUGGGGAAAUAUACUCUUGUUCCAUGUAGUUACAGGGUAAGUACAAUAAAAAAUUUUUUUUUUUUAAAAAAAACACACAAUCUGAUAUCACUGACUCCUAGAAAAAAUAAUGAUAAUAUUUGAAAAACAACUUAAUCCAAAACAGGUCUACAAAACAUUUUUUUUUUUUUUUUUUUUUAAACUUUUCAUUUCAGAUUCUAAAGUCCUGACAGAAAGUAACACGCUUUGUCCCUUUUUGUUGUUGUUUCUCUUGCGUGGCUUCUUCCUCCUCUUGUUCCUCUUCUUCUUUUUCAAUCUUUCCACUGAUGAAUUAUAAGAAGGAAUCCCAUGACUUUUGCUAUUUUGUAUUCUGUAUUAAAAGAAAACACAGUACACCCAGAAAUGUUCUCAUGGUUUACUCAUCUUUUCGCUUCCGACCAACUGUCACCAGCGUGUGUAUGAGAGUCGACUUCACGUUUGAUAAAUCAUAUUGUAAUGAGCAA